UGUAGGUGGAAGCAGCGGUGGAGGAGGAGGAGGAGGUAGCCAACACGGUUUUAUAUAUAUACCAGUAAAUAAAUAUAUGUAUUUUUUUAAUUUAAUUGGGGUAGCCCCCAAAAUAUUGGGACAUAUAAAAAAAAAAAAAAAAACACAACUCUGUUCCGCAGAGUAGCUGUUGACAUUAUAGUUGCGCAGGCACUUUGUUGACUCUAGAGAACCUCGAGCCAAUCGCACAUCCACGUGACGGCGACUUUGCAUUUGGAUGUCAUCCAUAUCAACGUUCGAUGCCAGUUUCUGCGCCUACCAUGGUGACCACGGGUAACGGGGAAUCAGGGUUGGAUUACGGAGAGGGAAUCUGAGAAACGGCUACCGCAUGCAAGGAAGGCAGCAGGUGCGCAAAUGACCCACUCCAGACGCAGGAAGGUAGUGAUGUCAAAUAACAAUACAGGACUCUUUAGAGGCCCUGUAAUUGUAAUGAGUCCACUUGAAAUCCUUUAACUCUGAUCAAUUUUAGGGCAAGUCUGGUGCAGAGCGACUGACCCGUGCGUGCGGCAGCUGAAA